rnacentral:rRNA from 1 species
AUUGAACGCUGGCGGAAUGCUUUACACAUGCAAGUCGAGCGGCAGCGCGGGGGCAACCCUGGCGGCGAGCGGCGAACGGGUGAGUAAUACAUCGGAACGUGUCCUUGAGUGGGGGAUAGCUCGGCGAAAGCCGGAUUAAUACCGCAUAAGCUCUGAGGAGAAAGCGGGGGAUCGCAAGACCUCGCGCUAUUGGAGCGGCCGAUGUCAGAUUAGGUUGUUGGNGGGGUAAGGCCUACCAAGCCGACGAUGGGUAGCCGAUCUGAGAGGAUGACCGCCACACUGGGACUGAGAUACGGCCCAGGCUCCGUACGGGAGCAGCAGGUGGGGAAUAUUGGACAA